AGCAGCCGCGGUAAUUCCAGCUCCAAUAGCGUAUAUUAAAGUUGUUGCAGUUAAAAAGCUCGUAGUUGAAUUUCGGGAUUAAUAUGUUGGUCGUGCCUUGGUACGUACUGGCAUUAUUGAUUCCUACCUUCUGAAGAACCUCGAUGUCAUUAAUUUGGUGUCUUGGGGAAUCAGGACCGUUACUUUGAAAAAAUUAGAGUGUUUAAAGCAGGCUCGCGCUUGAAUACAUUAGCAUGGAAUAAUGAAAUAGGACGUUUGAUUCUAUUUUGUUGGUUUCUAGGAUCGACGUAAUGAUUAAUAGGGAUAGUUGGGGGCAUUAGUAUUCAAUUGUCAGAGGUGAAAUUCUUGGAUUUAUUGAAGACUGACUACUGCGAAAGCAUUUGCCAAGGAUGUUUUCAUUAAUCAAGAACGAAAGUUAGGGGAUCGAAGACGAUCAGAUACCGUCGUAGUCUUAACCAUAAACUAUGCCGACUAGGGAUCGGAUGAUGUUAAUUUUUUAAUGACCCAUUCGGCGCCUUACG
rnacentral:rRNA from 1 species